rnacentral:rRNA from 1 species
GAGGAAUAUUGGGCAAUGCCCGCAUGGGUGACCCAGCAACGCCGCGUGGAGGAUGAAUGUCGUAAGAUUGUAAACUCCUGUUAGAGGGGAAGAAUAGUACCGGUUGGACCGGUAUAUGACUGUACCCUCAGAGAAAGCCCCGGCUAACUACGUGCCAGCAGCCGCGGUAAUACGUAGGGGGCAAGCGUUGUACGGAUUUACUGGGUGUAAAGGGCGCGCAGGCGGGAUAAAAAGUCAGUGGUGAAAUCCUACAGCUUAACUGUAGAACUGCCUUUGAUACUUUUAUUCUUGAGUUCGGGAGAGAGAGACGGAAUUCCAGGUGUAGUGGUGAAAUACGUAGAUAUCUGGAAGAACACCAGUUGCGAAGGCGGUCUCUUGGUCCGACACUGACGCUGAGGCGCGAAAGCGUGGGGAGCAAACA